AAUAAACCAAUUCCUGCGUUUUUAGAUUGAAUUUUUAACUCUUCGUCUUAUUUGAAAUUUUUUUUAUGAUUUAUAUUUUUAUUGUUAUUACAUGAUAAAAUAUGAAUAGUACUUUGUUUGUGACUAUUUGUUUUUAAUUUUUUAAUAAAAUUUUCAAAUAAGAUGGAUGGUCAAAUGCUCUAUAGAAAAAACUUAGA
rnacentral:pre_miRNA from 1 species